rnacentral:rRNA from 1 species
AUGGAGGUCUCAGCCAGGCUCCGCCCGCCAUCUCCCGCCUCGACGGCGCCGCCCCGCCGCGGCGGAGGGUACCUAUGGCGGCUGCUCCCUUCGGCCCGGCCCGCCUCCCGAGCGGUCUCCGCCAAGGUGCUUCCCAGUGCAGAGCCUCACCACUCUCCAGCCGCCGCACCCCUCUCUCCCCUCUCCUCCCAAUGGCGGCCGCGCCCGCCCCCGCCCCCGCGAGCUUCGGCUGUUGGCGCCGCCUCCUCGCAGCGCCGCUUCUUCUUCCUCCUCUCAACUCUCUCGGCCUUAUUCUCAUUACUGAAUAUGACAUAUAUAUACACAACGGCGACGCGUUCCGCCUGGGCUUCGUCGGCGUGGGGAACCUGGCCGAGAGCAUCGCGCGGGGCGUCACGGCGUCGGGCGUCCUCCCGGGCCUCCGCCGUCCGCACCGCGCCCCACCGCCGCCCCGAGCGCGGCGCCGCCUUGGCCUCCCUCGGCGCCACCAUCCUCGCAUCCAACGCCCAGGUUGUCGACGACAGCGAUGUGAUCGUCAUCUCCGUCAAGCCCCAGAUUGUGAAGCAGGUUCUGGUUGAGCUCAAGCCCUUGUUGUCUGAAGAAAAGCUUCUGAUCUCCAUUGCCGCUGGCAUCAAAAUGAAAGAUUUGCAGUACUAUGAAAUAUCAGAGCUAUUCUGUUCUAGCCCUCCUAUCUUUAAUUCCUGGCUGCUGGACUACCUACAGGACAACGAGUUCAUCUGCGGCAGCUAUCGCUGUGAGCAGUCCGUCCACGACGCGCUCCGCAGCGUCUUCGCCGGGCACAACAAGAUCCUCAACGUCUGGAAGGAUAAAGUGGAGAAAAAGAAGAAAAGAUUACUAGAAGAUUAG